rnacentral:lncRNA from 1 species
UUUCCUACCUUCUGAAUUGUGGCCGUGGAAGAUGGGUGGGGUGAGGAAUAAGAAUUUCUGCCAGACGCACUAGCACCUCCAUCGCUCACCUUUUUUUUACAGGAUCCAGCGCCCAUUGAAGUAAAAUUUUGCCCGCUCCCACCUUCAGCCGAUGUAAUUUAUCGUUUUGGUAUAUAUGCGUGGACGGUUAUUCUUUUAGUCGUGGGUUCGUGGCGUUUCUAAUUGCAGGCGGUAGCGGCCGGAGGUCUCGGCGGCGAGCGGCCGCAGCGCGGAGGAGCGUGGUGUCCUUCGGCGGCGAUUCCACCGAUCCCCUUCGCCUCCGGUGGCUGAUUAGGUGUCGGCUUCCUGAUGGGAACACGGAUCUGUCCACAGAGGUAUGUUUUAGGUCUCUACGAUCUAGGUUUUGGGGUCCUGAUGGUGGUAGGUAGGCUAGGACGAAGCGGAAUAAAGGGAUCUCUUCGGCCUCUUCCUCGUCCUGCCGGUGUGGCCUGUGUAGAUGGCGCCAGGCCGGCGAGGGUAGGGCUCUCGACUUCCUACUUGUGGCGCUUUGUAUAUGAGUCAUGAGCUGGCCGACGUUCCAUCCAAUUCAAGAGGCUGCGGCCAGUCCAGGGUCUCAUGAGCACGGGCAGGUUCCCUGGCCGUGGCUGGGUGAUUCUUCCAGCUCACAAAGGCCAUGUAUGGCGAUGGUGCUCCAGACGCCCUUGUAUGUUUGGGCUAUUUUGGUUUUACUUCCAUGUGUGUAGGUGGGGAUUGCACGGUAGGAGGAGAGAAACCUCAAUCCUAAUGCUUUCCGCACCAAACUUCCAAUCAACAUCCACAUACGUUUCACCUGGUCGUGUUCCUCCCAAGUUGCUAAUAUGGUUUUCAGUUUUUGCAGAGGCUGUAGAUAGAAGAGAUCAUGAGGCUGAACAUCCUGUCCAAUCAGGUAAUUAGAAUUUACCAUAUAUCCUUGACUGUGUGCUUGCUUUCGUGCAAGUAACAUUUUUUAUCAGGAACACCCUGAUUUUUGCACAGAGAUGGGUGGUCAUGGAUUCAAAGAAGGCGGAGUAGUCAUGUAGUGUCGCUGGUGUUUCUCGGUUUCAGGUUAUGUUUGGCCAUUGGCAUGCAUAUUGAUGCGCCAUGCAUCUCCUUUCAUCAUGAUGGUCAGCGACCGGGUCUUCGCCGCCGGAGCUGUUCAGUAUCACCUACUCUCGGUCAGUAUACAUAACUACGUAGCAAUUUACUCUCUUGAGGCGAAUUAUUGUGUUUUAAAUUUUGAUUUCUGUCCAAAAUUUAGUUGUUUUCGUCAUAGCUAAACUACAAUAUUAAUACUGACAUUACAAUCUUUUAUUUCAUUCCAACAAUUUAGUUCCUCUCUGUCAGUAGUAGAUUGUGUUCUGGUCUAAAUUGAUAAGCUAUGUGGAGUUAGAAGUGUGUUAUAUAGAUCAUGAAAUCCAUGCUUAGGUUCUUUUGUGUGCAGGUUACAUUUUCUAGACAUAUAGGUAGCCAAUUACUGGUUUCAGGACUACGUCAUAGAUUUGUGCAUUGCACCAUAUCAUUUCACUAGCUGGUAAGUUGUGCGAAAAGAAGUUAAAAAGCUAAUGAUCAUGGUGUUCAGUGUUAUAGACUACAAGCAUGCUAGAAAACAAAUUCAGAACUAGCAAAAAAAAAAAGAAUUGAGUUCGUCGCGAUAACAAUUUUCAGGAAACAAUGGCUAUUUCAUAUAUAUGAUGGUGAUUUUUGGCGACUAUUUCGGGGAAAAAAACUUAGGCUAUGUUUGGUAGCAAAGUAUCAGAAAAAACAAAGUAUCAAAAAUUACAGUAAUUUAAUCAGUAGGCACACAAUACCAUAGUUUUAACUUAACAAAGCUUUUCUGGAGUAUUCAGAAUACAGACCACAUGUUUGGCCACAGCACACAAUGCUGUAAAAUUUGCUGGCUAGCCGUUAAUUAGGCUGUCGCAUGCUGUAGUAGCGAGAUGAAAAAAUAGUGGAUGGAAGUAGCACCGUGGUGUAGUACUAGAAUAUAUGGAUCGACUAGAUUAACGAUGAUUAGCGGCAGCGACGGCGGCGGAGUAAUUAGCAAAUGGAUAAUGAGAAGUAGUAGAAGUAGGAGGAAAUAAGGAUUCAUCCUUUGCAGAUAGUUUUCGUAGGAAAUAUGCUAAUCAAUUUAUUAGCAAAUGGAUAAUGGGAACUAGUAGAACUGUACUAAUCAAUUUGUAGGAAAAUACUCCUUUCAUUUAAAAUAUUAGGCAUAUAGUUUUUGUAACUUUACUUUUAGAUAUGUUUUCUCUUGUAUUCCCUCAUUUCUAUACUCUCUUUCUCUCCCAUAUUUAUUUACGGAUGCUAUGGUCAUUUCACUGAACAUCGUUUUUGUUCUGUGCCCUGUUUAAUCCCCAUUCUUGAUCAAACAUAGCUUAUAAAAAAAUGAAGGGUGAUCUAGUUAUUUUGUACACACAGUAAUUAGUAAGUAUUUGUGUUAUGUGUGUACGUUGGUACUAGCAAUUGCCGAUGUGGUAGUUUGAUAAAUGAAGCUAGAAAACAGCUAGCGGUAUCCAGCAAGGAUAGGACAUGAGAUGUCAAAUUUAUAAGUUUCCAAAUGGCCGCCCAGAAUGUGUAAUAAUCAAGAUUGGCGAAAUAUUCAGUUUGCAGUACACAUGUAUCACAGCUCAAACAUACCAAUUACAUGUGAAUUGCGCUUCUUGUUCUGACAUCAUUGCAUUUCAUGAUCAUCGGUAUUUAUUUCUAUGCAGUUACAACAUUAGUUCGAAUGGCAGCUGGAUUUGGAUUUAUUGUUAGGCUUACUUUGUUUUUGUGUCCUAUAAACAGGGUGAAGCUCGGCGAGAGAGGCCCUACAGUUUACAAAUAUUCGUGGAGCUCUCACAGUGGCAGACAGAGAGAGGAGCUACUCCAGCAUUGCACGGCUGACAGCAAGUGACUAAUGCCCUAAUCUUGUUGUGUAAAUUAAUGCAACUAGCGUUAACUUGUAGAGCAUCAUGUUGUUAGAAUAGUUCUAAGGUCACCGUGUGAUUUCGUUUACAUUUUUGCUUGCUUGCCGGUGUACCAAACAAGAUGCAAGAUGGCAUAUAAUGUAUUUUUACAUUGAAUCAUGGAUGGUGCAUUGGUGACAUUUUCUUUAGAGUAUGAUGAUCAUCUUUGUUUUACAUCGUCUCCCA